ACCUGAUUUGGAGAUCGUUAGGUGAGUUUUGACAUUAGAGUUGGGUUAAUUUAGCUUAAGUGCUGAAUAUUUGUAUUGAUUGUGGCAUCUUGAUGGAAUUUUAGUGGAUUCGGAGGUUCAGGGCUGGAUUGAAGACCCUUGCUGGUUGAGAGGGAGUUCGGCUGAGUUUCCAGCAUCUCCGAGAUCUUAUUGCUGCCAGGAUUUAGCUUUAGAUGUGGGUUACAUCGGUUUAUUCCUAAGCACAGUUUUAGUCGACAUGUAUGAUUUCUAGUUUUUGUAAAUCAUGUUGUAGCUCAAUUUCGUUGAUUGUAUCAUGGAUGAAAUCAGCAUUGAGGACAUGAUUAGUAAACCAUAAAUAUACAUGUUGGACUGAAAAAUUGACUUAGGAGAAAA
rnacentral:lncRNA from 1 species